UCCGUAGGCGGUGUGGCAAGUCGGAAGUGAAGUCUCUGGGCUUAACUCAGAGGCUGCUUCCGAAACUGCCGUGCUAGAGUGCGAGAGAGGCAAGUGGAAUUGCGGGUGUAGCGGUGAAAUGCGUAGAUAUCCGCAGGAACAUCCGAGGCGAAAGCGGCUUGCUGGAUCGCAACUGACGCUGAGGGACGAAAGCUAGGGGAGCAAACAGGAUUAGAUACCCUGGUAGUCCUAGCCCUAAACCAUCAGGACUUGGGGUUUGCCCUGUACGGGGCAAGUCCCGUAGCUAACGCGUUAAGUCCUGCGCCUGGGGAGUACGGUCGCAAGGCUGAA
rnacentral:rRNA from 1 species